rnacentral:rRNA from 1 species
AUGUCAGACUCUCAUGUUUGUGCCAUCUGCGGUAUGGAAGAUAGCUGGCGGCACUCUCUGUUGGACCGCACAUUAUCUCGGAGCGUUUGGGCCCUAUCAAGUGAGGAGCUAGUGCAACACAUGUGUAUGAACAAAGAUGAAAAUGCUAAGGCCUGGUCAUUUGCCAUGAGUGACUCGAUCUCACAGCAGGAGUUUGCCACUCUGAUUACCACUCUGAUUACCACUCUUUGGGCUAUUUGGUUUGCACGGCGAAAAGUUAUUCAUGAAGGAAUUCUUCAGACACCGUUUGCAACACAUGCAUUCAUAAACAGGUUUCUUGCUGAUCUUGAUUGCCUUGCUACACCACCUCCUGCUGUACGAGGACCAGCCCCGCCACGACCAACCGGCUGGCUACCACCCCUAGAGGGCCAUGUAAAGAUCAAUGCCAAUGCCGCAGUAUCAAGGUCGGGUCGCUAUGGGGCGGUUGGGGCAAUCUGCUGGAAUGAAUCAGGCAUCUUCCUUGGAGCGUCAGCUGUCGUUUUUGGAAGCUUUGGAGAUCUGGAGGUACUCGAGGUUUUGGGCAUCAGAGAAGCCUUAGCUUUAGCAAAUGAUCUAUACAUUCAAAGGGCGUCGAUUGCUUCUGAUUGUAAAGCUGCGGUGGAGGCGAUAGGAAAAGGUUCCUCAUCUGAAUAUGGGGCAGUCGUGCUGGAGAUUAAUCAGUCGUCUAGAGAUUUCAUUUCUUGCAUUUUCUCUCAUGAAUUUAGAACCUCGAACGUUGAGGCCCACAAACUUGCAAAGCAUGCUUUAACUCUAGGGACCGGUCGCCAUGUUUGGUUAGGCUACCCUGAAGAUCUUUGCUUCGUCCCUGUAAACGUUGUGACGGGUUAA